AUUGAACGCUGGCGGCAUGCCUUACACAUGCAAGUCGAACGGCAGCACGGGAGCAAUCCUGGUGGCGAGUGGCGAACGGGUGAGUAAUACAUCGGAACGUGCCCAAUCGUGGGGGAUAACGUAGCGAAAGCUACGCUAAUACCGCAUACGAUCUACGGAUGAAAGCGGGGGAUCGCAAGACCUCGCGCGAAUGGAGCGGCCUAUGGCAGAUUAGGUAGUUGGUGAGGUAAAGGCUCACCAAGCCUGCGAUCUGUAGCUGGUCUGAGAGGACGACCAGCCACACUGGGACUGGGACACGGCCCAGACUCCUACGGGAGGCAGCAGUGGGGAAUUUUGGACAAUGGGCGCAAGCCUGAUCCAGCAAUGCCGCGUGCAGGAUGAAGGCCUUCGGGUUGUAAACUGCUUUUGUACGGAACGAAACGGUCCUUUCUAAUACAAGGGGCUAAUGACGGUACCGUAAGAAUAAGCACCGGCUAACUACGUGCCAGCCGCCGCCGUAA
rnacentral:rRNA from 1 species